AUUGAACGCUGGCGGCAGGCCUAACACAUGCAAGUCGAGCGGUAACAGAACUAGCUUGCUAGUUGCUGACGAGCGGCGGACGGGUGAGUAACGCGUAGGAAUCUGCCCGGUAGCGGGGGAUAGCCCAGAGAAAUUUGGAUUAAUACCGCAUACGCCCUACGGGGGAAAGCAGGGGAUCUUCGGACCUUGCGCUAUCGGAUGAGCCUGCGUCGGAUUAGCUAGUUGGUGGGGUAAUGGCCUACCAAGGCGACGAUCCGUAGCUGGUCUGAGAGGAUGAUCAGCCACACCGGAACUGAGACACGGUCCGGACUCCUACGGGAGGCAGCAGUGGGGAAUAUUGCACAAUGGGCGCAAGCCUGAUGCAGCCAUGCCGCGUGUGUGAAGAAGGCCUUCGGGUUUGUAAAGCACCUUCAGUAGGAGGAAAGGUUGUAGAUUAAUACUCUGCAGCUGUGACGUUACCUACAGAAGAAGCACCGGCUAAC
rnacentral:rRNA from 1 species